rnacentral:rRNA from 1 species
CAGAGGAUGUUUCUGGCGCGGUGCCUUCCGAGUUCCCUGGAACGGGACGCCAUAGAGGGUGAGAGCCCCGUAUGGUUGGAUACCAAGCCUGUGUGAAACUCCUUCGACGAGUCGAGUAGUUUGGGAAUGCUGCUCAAAAUGGGAGGUAAAUCUCUUCUAAAGCUAAAUAUUGGCCAGAGACCGAUAGCGCACAAGUAGAGUGAUCGAAAGAUGAAAAGCACCUUGAAAAGGGGGUUAAACAGUACGUGAAAUUGUUGAAAGGGAAGCGCUCAUGACCAGACUUGUGCUGGGCAGCUCAUCCGGGGUUCUCCCCGGUGCAUUCUGCCCAGUUCAGGCCAGCAUCGAUUUUUGCUGGGGGAUAAGAACGGUAGGAACGUGGCCCUCCUUCGGGAGGGUGUUAUAGCCUACCGUACGAUACCCUAGCGGAGAUCGAGGUUCGCGCAUCUGCAAGGAUGCUGGCGUAAUGGUCAUCAGCGACCCGUCUUGAAACACGGACCAAGGAGUCGUCCAUUAGAGCGAGCGUUUGGGUGUAAAACCCGCACGCGUAAUGAAAGUGAAAUUAGGUGAGAGCUUCGGCGCAUCAUCGACCGAUCCUGAUGUUCUCGGAUGGAUUUGAGUAAGAGUUUUAACGGACGGACCCGAAAGACAGUGAACUAUGCUUGUAUAGGGUGAAGCCAGAGGAAACUCUGGUGGAGGCUCGCAGCGGUUCUGACGUGCAAAUCGAUCGUCAAAUAUGAGCAUGGGGGCGAAAGACUAAUCGAACGACUACCGCC